UAAGAAUUUUGCGCAAUGGGCGAAAGCCUGACGCAGCGACGCCGCGUGGACGAUGAAGGUCUUCGGAUUGUAAAGUCCAGUAAGCAGGGACGAAUAAGCAAGGGGCAAUAUUCCUUGUGAUGACGGUACCUGUCUAAAGCCUCGGCUAACUACGUGCCAGCAGCCGCGGUAAUACGUAUGAGGCGAGCGUUGUUCGGAAUUAUUGGGCAUAAAGGGCGUGUAGGCGGGGAAUUAAGUUAGGUGUGAAAGCCACGGGCUCAACCCGUGAAUUGCACAUAAUACUGGUUCUCUUGAGUUCGGGAGAGGAGAGCGGAAUUCCAGGUGUAGCGGUGAAAUGCGUAGAUAUCUGGAAGAACACCAGUGGCGAAGGCGGCUCUCUGGCCUAGGACUGACGCUAAGGCGCGAAAGCGUGGGGAGCGAACGG
rnacentral:rRNA from 1 species